CUUGGUUCCACAACCGUAAAGGAGACAUCGCUUGCUGGAAGUCAGUUCUACUGUGGUUAUGGCUUGUUCUUCACAGUUCUUAAGGAACGAAGCCUAGUGAGAUUCAUUGCAAAAUCAGCCCAGCAGUUCCUAAUCCUUAGUAGCGUCCAAGCAAGAAUACAGGUGCCAGGAACUAUCAAUUUGUUGUGAUUUCCAUCAGGCUUCUUCUAAGCAGGGAGCUCAGAGACAAUUAUCUUGCUUCAACUCCCAACCUGACAGCGUUCAUUUACGGCUGAGACUGUCUACUCGUGCUAAAGAAGACAAGAAGCCACAAGUCUGGAUGCAGAACACUGGGAAGCCACCAAGGGCAAACAUGAGUGUCUGUUGCUGUGUAGCAGGAUAGAAAUGAGUAACCGCUGAUCAGAAGAAGAAAUUCACAUCAAAUUUGGAUAAAGUUAAGCCAACUUGCCAAGUAGACAGCUGGGAUAUUAAAAGAAGUAAAUGGUAUAAAAUGUCAAAUGAAUGUUUUUGAUUGGCACAGAGAGGUUUGAAGACGUUUGGAAAGAUGCUAUAAUGACACAGUGCUGCAAGUAACCAUGAAUCCUUAUGGUUAAACUGGAACAAAUGUCAAAAUUUCGAUUGGUUCAAAUAUUCUUCAAACCUAAACCAUGAUGGCUAAAGCAAUAAAAGUAAAGAAAGAUGCAGAUCCAUUACACAGGAAAGUACUGAUUUCAUAGAAAGGAUAGUAGAAUAGUAUUAUGAAAAGCAUACGGCCAUAAGAAUUCAAAAACUUGGUUCUAAAACUAGGUUCUCCUCCUGAACAGUUGAUUGAGUUGAGUCUUCUUCAUGUCCAGCUGUAACAUAAAGAGUUGUAUUAGCUUUGCAAAUCUUAAACAUUCUAUGAUGCUCUAGGGACAAUAUUUAUCAAGACUGUGCCAUUCUUUUGGGUGAUAAUGAGAAAAUAAGAAGACAGAAUAUUGUGAUAGUUAAUUUUAUUUGUUAACUUGACUGGGCCAUGGGGGACCCAGAUAUUUAAUCCAAUAUUAUUCUGGGUGUUUCUGUG
rnacentral:lncRNA from 1 species